CCCUUAGAUGUCCGGGGCCGCACGCGCGCUACACUGAAGGAAUCAGCGUGGCUUUCUCCCUGACCCGAAAGGGUUGGGAAACCCGUUGAAUCUCCUUCGUGAUAGGGAUUGGGGCUUGAAAUUGUUCCCCAUGAACGAGGAAUUCCCAGUAAGCGCGAGUCAUAAGCUCGCGUUGAUUACGUCCCUGCCCUUUGUACACACCGCCCGUCGCUACUACCGAUUGAACGGUUUAGUGAGGGCCUCGGAUUGGUAUCGGCCCGCUCUUUACCGGGCGGCGCCGUUGGUCGAGAAGACGCUCGAACUUGAUCGUUUAGAGGAAGUAAAAGUCGUAACA
rnacentral:rRNA from 1 species